GGCGCAGUCGUUCCGGAAUCCGACUGAGUCCGCCGAACUCUGCUGUCGCGGAGCUCCGGCCCGAGGGUUGGAAAGAAGGAGAGUGGAAGCGGAACUGGGACAUCAGUUUUGGAGCCGCUGAAGCCUUAUUUGAGCUACAGCAGGUCCAGCAUCAUCUGUCUUACCAGCGGCACCAGUGAAACUUCUGGCCAAGUGCAGGGCAGCCCUGUGCUAUGACACCAAAUGCCAAGCCAUCCUGCCCCUCUCUCCCCACCAUCUUGCAGAGUCGAGGCACUGAGAGAUCAUCUGUGACAACACCUACUAUAAAAAGAGCUCCGACUCUCCGAGGCCUACCAACAGGUUCAGGCACAGACACAGUGCACACUGUUUAUCUUCCAGGUGUGGCAGAUACCAGAGCAGAUGUGACCAUCAUUGCCAGCCACAGGGCUGGGAGCUAGUGCCAGCCAAUGCAGUCAUCUCUGGGAUUGGAGGAACUGCCACCUCUAUGCGGAGCAAACCCACAAUCCUUAUUAAAGGUACUGACGGUCAGAUUGCCACAGUAAGACCUUUUGUAGUAAAGGCACCUAUCAACUUAUGGGGCAGGGACCUAUUGUCUCAAUAAGGGGCAAGGCUGAAAAUCCCCUCACCACAGUGACUUUUAGCUGGGGUCACUGUGGAGCGCUCCACCACACCACUCAUAUGGAAAACUGAUCAACCAGAGUGGAUUGACCAGUGGCCCCUCUCAGAAAUAAAGUUAAAGGUGCUCGAGUCCCUAGUGCAAGAGCAGUUGUCCAAGGGCCACAUAGUACCAUCCACUAGCCCUUGGAACACCCUUGUCUUUGUCAUUCAUAAACCACACAAAGAAAAGUGGAGGCUUCUGCAAGACUUCAAGAUGGUCAAUGAGGUCAUUGAAGACAUGGGCUCUCUGCAGCCUGGCAUACCCUCAUCCUCAAUGCUCCUGAGAGAGUGGAAACUGGCAGUCAUUGAUAUCAGAGACUGCUCUUUUAACAUCCCUCUCCAUCUCAGAGAUGCCCCAAGAUUUGCAUUUUUCAUCCCAUCAAUUAAUAGGCAAGCCCGUCUAAAAAGGUAUCAUUGGCAAGUUCUUCCCCGAGGGAUGAAAAAUUCUCCAGCUAUCUGCCAAAUGUUUGUUGCCCGCAUUCUCUUGUCUAUCCGAGAGAAAUCUCCUGAUUUUGGAAAUCAAUUUUGCACUAUAUGGAUGAUAUUUUAAUAUGCACUGAGACUAAUAUUGGGAGAUUUGUUUUCAAAAAGACUAUUCAAGACAUUGAAGGAGCAGGAUUUGAAAUUGCUACAGAGAAGAUUCAACACACCUGCCCUUGGACCUACCUACCUUGGAUACUGGAUCAGUAAAAGGACUAUUGUACUCCAGCAACUCACCAUCAAGGACAACCCGAGAACCAUGAGAGACCUACACCAGUUAUGUGGGAGCAUAAACUGGGUCCGUCUGCUGCUAGGGAUCACGACCGAGGACCUCGCACUCCCUUUCAACCCCCUGUGAGGCUGUGAUGACCUUGACUUGCCAUGAACUAUCACACCUGAGGCUCAGGUGGAAAUCUGAAAUGUAUCAGAGACACUUUUCACAAUACAGGCCCACUGUGGAUGCGGAGGAGCCUGCCGAGCCGGAGAUCCUGGCUCUACCCUGGAGACAAGAUACUUCUCUGUAAGAGAGACACAAUGUGUUGCUCCCAGGGAUCUUUGAGUUAGAUAUGUUAAACUGUUGUGGCCCAUUGGUGUUCCCCCCUGCUGUCCCACCCCAAUACAGGUAUCUCGGGCUUCCCCCCACCCCUCUCCUCCCUUAUAAAUAUCCCGGGUUUUCCACUGUUUGGUAGAUUAGCUGUUGCUGGCACCCUUCACCGAAGCUCUGUCUGAAUAAAGGUUUGUGCUUAGCGGAACGCUGAACCAGCUUUCUCAUCCCUGCUUCCCGUGUCGCCUGCCCGCCGCCACUGAGCCGAGCUGAAAUCACUCGACUGUCCGAGGCUGCUCACGCUCUUCAGCCCAGCCCUUUUCAGGGCUGCCUCUAGAGAAGUCGCGGUGCUCCGGGCUUUCCAUCGCCGCGCCAACUGGCGUCUCAACGUGAGGCCUUCAAAGGAGCCCUGAAGAAGCGUCCGCCUGCAGCUUUAACUGCGAGGCGCGCCGCCGUUUGAGCCGCCGCCCCUCGAGGAAGCUUGCUUGCGUUUUAGCAAGAGGCGAUCCAAGAGGCUGCGACCGGGACCCUCGUCUGACCAUCUGGGGCAAGGAAAAGCCCCUGAGGACUGGCCGCCCAGGUGACCACCCACCCAGCAGCUUUUUUUCGCCCGCCUGCAUCUGCCAAAGAGAAAUUGUAAGUCGACCCUGUGAAGGGUUUUUUUGGGCUUUUUUCUUUUUCUUUUUCUUUGCUGUUUUACUGCUGGGUGGGGACUGAAAAAGGAUGGGGAACCAGCCCUCCAUAUUGAGGUUGACCCCACCUGAGAGGGACUUUUAUAUCCAAGUUGUAAAUACCCUAAAAGUGGGAAAUUUUAAGUUUUCUAAAGGGGAUUUAAAGAGAUUUAUUCAUUGGGUUUUUAAACAUUUUAAGAUUAAUUCGGAUUCUGCUAAAUCAGGAAUUUUUUGGGAUAAUGUGGGAAGAAAGUUAUAUACAGUUCAAGCUAAGGGAGAUCUUUCUGUUGCAAAAUUCUUUCCAGUGUUUCAAAAUAUUAUUUUCUCAUUGGAAAAAGAGGGGAAAAAAGGAAGAGGGAGUUUUGGGUCCCCAGUUGAACC